CCUACGGGUGGCAGCAGUGGGGGAUAUUGGACAAUGGGGGCAACCCUGAUCCAGCGACGCCGCGUGAGUGAAGAAGUAUUUCGGUACGUAAAGCUCUAUCAGCAGGGAAGAAAGAAGACGGUACCUGACUAAGAAGCCCCGGCUAACUACGUGCCAGCAGCCGCGGUAAUACGUAGGGGGCAAGCGUUAUCCGGAAUUACUGGGUGUAAAGGGAGCGUAGACGGUUAAACAAGUCUGAAGUGAAAUGCCGGGGCUCAACCCCGGAGCUGCUUUGGGAACUGUAGAACUGGAGUGUCGGAGGGGUAAGCGGAAUUCCCAGUGUAGCGGUGAAAUGCGUAGAUAUUGGGAGGAACACCGGCGGCGAAGGCGGCUUACUGGACGACAACUGACGUUGAGGCUCGAAGGCGUGGGUAGCAAACAGGAUUAGAUACCCCAGUAGUC
rnacentral:rRNA from 1 species